AGCGCAACCCUCGCCUCUAGUUGCCAGCAUCGGUUGGGCACUCUAGAGGGACUGCCGGCGACAAGUCGGAGGAAGGUGGGGAUGACGUCAAAUCAUCAUGCCCCUUAUGACCUGGGCUACACACGUGCUACAAUGGGCGGUACAAAGGGCUGCGAACCCGCGAGGGGGAGCGAAUCCCAAAAAGCCGCUCUCAGUUCGGAUUGCAGGCUGCAACUCGCCUGCAUGAAGCCGGAAUCGCUAGUAAUCGCGGAUCAGCAUGCCGCGGUGAAUACGUUCCCGGGCCUU
rnacentral:rRNA from 1 species